rnacentral:misc_RNA from 1 species
AAAGUCGUAACAAGGUUUCCGUAGGUGAACCUGCGGAAGGAUCAUUACUGAGUGGCUGGCGAAGCGCCUGUGCGCGAGAGCGUGCGGGGGUGGAGCGGUUACCCGACCUUUUGUCAUGUGGGCUGGCGGUUGUCCUCGUUUGGGGACGAGCGCGAGCAUGUUCAGGUUCGGCGGAGGAGGUGGGCGCUGGUUGCCGUCGAUGGAUUGGCCGAUUGCGAGAUCGGGCGAUUUGGAUGGACGGAGGAAGGCGACCUGCCCGCCGCCGGCGGCAUUCCCAACUCUUGUUUGUAGCAGAAUGAAGUCUGACGAGACGACGAAACGAAAAGCAAAACUUUCAACAACGGAUCUCUUGGCUCUG